AUCCAUGUUUGUCUCUUUCCUUUGUGGAAGGGCAUGCCAUGGAAGCAUUUAAUCAUCAAGUGGACAUGGCUUAUUCAACCAUGGAAUGAGAGCUGCCUGUGGGGUUCUGAGAGACUGAUGAGAGCCGGUUCUGAGCACAAAGAUUGCAUGCAUCCUCCUUGUGCUUGCCCAGACUCCGUUUGCUCAAGGACUUCAUGUCAAGGUAACAGUGGGUGCAGUUGUGCUGUUGGACAAUGGAGGCCACUGAACCAUCAUACCCUCUGUCCCUUGUGCUGCUUCUCUCAUAAAACAAUGAAGCAGUCAGACCAUGUCCUUUCAUCAAAUGCGACUCGAAUUCUCAAAAGCUAGCAGCCAAAAUUAAAGAUUGAUGGGUUACUUUUGUG